UUAAUUGCUAGAGGCAUGGAAAGUGAACACUGAAAACCAAACUUUUUCGAGGAACUUUUUCAACUUUCACAAACUGUGUUCCAUUUGAGCCGUUGCAACUGACGUCCCAUGCCGACGGUAGCCAUUUCUGAAUAAACCGCUUGGUAAACGUUGACUCGAAAAGAAAAGCGAUUGCCAAAUAUGCAAAGGCAGCAGAUUUGAGUUCAAACAAAAGCCAGGAGUAACGAUAUUUUCUACAUAGGAACAAUUCAAUCUUUUUAGUUUUAACAAAUAUUUACGUAUACUAAAUCAAACAAAGAGGUCAAAACUUUGAGGAUAAUUUAAUUGAGCCUGAGCAGAAGGGUGUUUUUUUUUUUAAUUGUUCCUUAGGUCAACGUGGCCCGUAUUACUUCAUUUGUCGAUCGACAGUUAGCGAGGUGACACACAUGAAAAUGCAAUCAGUCGUUGAUUUCCACUUGGCAUAGUCUACCUUGGCUGGAAAAUCAGGAACAGAGCAACGAAAAACGGCCGUACUGCCACGACGAACUCGAGGAUUCUCGACGGUGACCUCGAAUGGCGGCAAAAUCACUUUUUUGGCGCCAAAAAGAAAAUACCUGCACGGACGCGCACAGGAGUGGAGAGGAUGCGACCAAUGAAAUUGGCUGCCAAACACCUGUAGGUGGCAGCGUGAACGUCUGGUCGGAACUGCUCCGGCCGGAAGUUGACGUUGCAGUUGACGGUGCAGACGUAGAAGAUGAUUCGACUGGAUUCCAGAUGCCGCUGCCUGCCGCGCUGCUGCCUAAACGUUCUUGAAAAUCAAGUAUUCCGUUCAUUAUACAACUCAAAUGAAAAGGGGAAUAGAAUUGUGUUAACCUUUGGAUGUGAGCCAAGUGAUUUGGGGUGUAGGUUGUCCCCAAACUGGACAUUCGAUGGUGAAUCCUCGAUCGGGAGUAAAAGUCACGUCUGAUGGCAAUUGAUUUUGGAAACGAGGACCAGCUGCUGCUGCUGUUCCCGACGACGCAAAUGUGUCCAUCAUUCCGCUGCCAGCGUGUUGAUUGGAUGAAGCAAUCACGUUGCUGCUGCUGCUGCCGCUGCUGCUGCUAUUGGCGUGCAAUCCUAUUAGGAAACAAGACUUUGGCUAAACGAACAAGUACAUGGCAAAAGGGCACGGCCAGAUGAAACCAAUUAAAAUGGAAUUUCCCGCUGCAAGUUUGACGUUGGAGCAACAGGGAAGUGAUGGAGGCUCAUAGUGAGGAAUAUGUUCGCACAAGACGCGACGAACCGAUGAAGCAGACGCUGCGAAAGAGAAAAUAAAAGGGAGACGACGAAAAUAAUUGAUUAUCGAUCGAGCCAGUGCUCGCUGUCGUCAGGGUCAAUCUAUAAAAGAUGCAACGACGCGCAGGAGCUUCAUAUAGGCGUGCUCGUUUUCUUUUUCUUUCACCAUAUAUUUAUUUUCCUCUGUUCCAACAUCCGACGUUAUUUAUUUAUUUCUUUCUUUUUUGAUAUUUUUAUUGUUUCGGGUGCUGUUGGAUGCCAAGAAAAAGGGGCCACAUCGUCAAGGGCGAUCGAGAGGAAUAAGAACGUUUCGAUAUCAGACUUUGCUCGUGAUUAUUUCGACUCGUGUGUGUCUGUCCCUUGCUGCCUCUCGAGUCUCGACUAUCCUGUCGAACAAUACCCCUAAGGAUAUACGUAGACAUGGAGGCACAGCAGAAGAGAAACGGAAUACAUUUCGAAUCAUUCGAUUGCAUAAUGGA
rnacentral:lncRNA from 1 species